rnacentral:sRNA from 1 species
AGGGGCUGAUAGGAUGUCUUCAUUUGGUGAUUUUGUUGCACUGUCCGAUGUUUGUGAUGUACCAACUGCAAAAAUUAUUUCCAGAGAAGUAUCUGAUGGUAUAAUUGCCCCAGGAUAUGAAGAAGAAGCCUUGAAAAUACUUUCCAAAAAGAAAAAUGGAAACUAUUGUGUCCUUCAGAUGGACCAGUCUUACAAACCAGAUGAAAAUGAAGUUCGAACUCUCUUUGGUCUUCAUUUAAGCCAGAAGAGAAAUAAUGGUGUCGUCGACAAGUCAUUAUUUAGCAAUGUUGUUACCAAGAAUAAAGAUUUGCCAGAGUCUGCCCUCCGAGACCUCAUUGUAGCCACCAUUGCUGUCAAGUACACUCAGUCUAACUCUGUGUGCUACGCCAAGAACGGGCAGGUUAUCGGCAUUGGAGCAGGACAGCAGUCUCGUAUACACUGCACUCGCCUUGCAGGAGAUAAGGCAAACUAUUGGUGGCUUAGACACCAUCCACAAGUGCUUUCGAUGAAGUUUAAAACAGGAGUGAAGAGAGCAGAAAUCUCCAAUGCCAUCGAUCAGUACGUGACUGGAACCAUUGGCGAGGAGCAGGAAUCAACAUAAGUGUCAUUGAAGAG